rnacentral:rRNA from 1 species
AUGUUCGCUGCCCAAUCCCAUUCUCGUGUGAACAACUGCAGCAUCUCUCUCUCCAAUGCACAGAAAGGCUCUCUGAGCGCCUCUGCAUACUUUGGGCAGAUGAGAUCUCGGUCGGAUGAGCUAGCUGCCGCCGGGAGUCCCAUGACUGAAGGAUAUCUUCUUUCUUUCAUCAUUGCAGGGCUUGACAUGGAUUACCAACCCUUGAUCUCGGCGCUGGACGUGCGCACUGCACCCCUCUCAGUGGAUGAUCUCUUUGGCAUGGUCGCAAAUUUCGAUCAAUGCAUUGAGAUGUUCCACGGGACAGGGGCAGGUGCUUUCAAGUCCUCGGCUAAUGCUGCAUCCCGAGGCCGCGAAAACAACAACAACUCCAGCCGCUACCGCAACUCCAACAUGAGUGGUGGUGGUGGAUCUCGCGGUGGUGGCAGCGACCACUACCAGAACGGCGGCGGCAACAACAGCGGCGGCGGCCACUACAACAACCCCAACACCGGUGGUGGCGGCGGCGGCUACAACAACUACAACAGCGACAGCGGUGGUGGUGGCGGCGGCGGUGGCGGCCACUACCAGAACGGCGGCAACAACAAUAGACGUCCCUACUACAACAACAACAGGGGGCGUCCCUUCCAAGGGUAUGAGGAGUAUGAAAAUAAGUGUCAUAUUUGCAAGAAAAAUAAGUAUAUUGCCAAAGAUUGUGAUUGGCGCUAUGCCGAGAAC